rnacentral:rRNA from 1 species
UUGGGUUGUAGCUGGUCCCUAAUUAACUUGGGGGCAUGUGCACGCCUUGUCUUUCUUAUCCCACACACACCUGCGCACCUGUGACACAGAUGUUUUAUGGAGGGAAAGAAACUUUAUGGGCCUUAUUUUUUUGGGAUUCUGUCUACUUAAUCUAUAUAAACUCAAUUUAUAUUUUAAAAUGAAUGUAAUGGAUGUAACACAUCUAAUACUAAGUUUCAACAACGGAUCUCUUGGCUCUCGCAUCGAUGAAGAACGCAGCGAAAUGCGAUAAGUAAUGUGAAUUGCAGAAUUCAGUGAAUCAUCGAAUCUUUGAACGCACCUUGCGCUCCUUGGUAUUCCUUGGAGCAUGCCUGUUUGAGUAUCAUGAAAUCUUCAAAGUCAAACCUUUUGUUAACUCAAUUGGUUCUGCUUUGGUAUUGGAGGUCUAUUGCAGCUUCACACCUGCUCCUCUUUGUGCAUUUUAGCUGGAUCUCAGUGUUAUGCUUGGUUCCACUCAGCGUGAUAAGUUAUCUAUCGCUGAGGACACCCUGUUAAAAAGGGGUGGCCAAGGUAAAUGCAGAUGAACCGCUUCUAACAGUCCAUUGACUUGGACAAAUAUUAAUUUUAUGAUCUGAUCUCAAAUCAGGUA